GCCGAUCCUUAUUCUUACGAUACCGUCAAGCUACUUCACGAAGUAGUGUUUCUUCUCGUAUAAAAGCAGUUUACAAUCCAUAGGACCGUCAUCCUGCACGCGGCAUGGCUGGAUCAGGCUUGCGCCCAUUGUCCAAUAUUCCUCACUGCUGCCUCCCGUAGGAGUCUGGUCCGUGUCUCAGUACCAGUGUGGGGGAUCUCCCUCUCAGGACCCCUACCCAUCGUAGCCUUGGUAAGCCGUUACCUUACCAACUAGCUAAUGGGACGCAUGCUCAUCUUUUACCGUUGUGACUUUAAUAACKGSWUGAUGCCAUCCUGCUAUGCUAUGAGGUAUUAAUCCAAAUUUCUCUGGGCUAUCCCUCUGUAAAAGGUAGAUUGCAUACGCGUUACGCACCCGUGCGCCGGUCUCUANUUCCGAAGAACUAUACCCCUCGACUUGCAUGUGUUAAGCCUGCCGCUAGCGUUCAUC
rnacentral:rRNA from 1 species